rnacentral:rRNA from 1 species
UGAAACGAUGGCUAAUACCGCAUGAUGCCUACGGGCCAAAGAGGGGGACCUUCGGGCCUCUCGCGUCAGGAUAUGCCUAGGUGGGAUUAGCUAGUUGGUGAGGUAAGGGCUCACCAAGGCGACGAUCCCUAGCUGGUCUGAGAGGAUGAUCAGCCACACUGGAACUGAGACACGGUCCAGACUCCUACGGGAGGCAGCAGUGGGGAAUAUUGCACAAUGGGCGCAAGCCUGAUGCAGCCAUGCCGCGUGUAUGAAGAAGGCCUUCGGGUUGUAAAGUACUUUCAGUCGUGAGGAAGGCGGUGUCGUUAAUAGCGGCGUUGUUUGACGUUAGCGACAGAAGAAGCACCGGCUAACUCCGUGCCAGCAGCCGCGGUAAUACGGAGGGUGCGAGCGUUAAUCGGAAUUACUGGGCGUAAAGCGCAUGCAGGUGGUUUGUUAAGUCAGAUGUGAAAGCCCGGGGCUCAACCUCGGAAUAGCAUUUGAAACUGGCAGACUAGAGUACUGUAGAGGGGGGUAGAAUUUCAGGUGUAGCGGUGAAAAUG